UACGAAGGGGGCUAGCGUUGCUCGGAAUUACUGGGCGUAAAGCGCGCGCAGGCGGCUAUCCAAGUCAGUGGUGAAAGCCCGGAGCUCAACUCCGGAACUGCCAUUGAAACUGUUUAGCUUGAGGACGAGAGAGGUGAGUGGAAUUCCCAGUGUAGCGGUGAAAUGCGUAGAUAUUGGGAGGAACACCAGUGGCGAAGGCGGCUCACUGGACCGGUUCUGACGCUGAGGCGCGAAAGCGUGGGGAGCGAACAGG
rnacentral:rRNA from 1 species